rnacentral:misc_RNA from 1 species
UACUCUCACACUUCCGAUCUUUGGAUUGGGAGCGGUGGACUUGGGUGUUGCUGCUUUACUGUGGCUCGCCUCAAAUGGAGUAGUGCAACUCUUGGUUGGACAUAGUACGGCGUGAUAAGUGUCUUCGCCGGCACCUCACUAGAGGGUGGCCGAUCGGGAUGUUGUGCUCCAAACCGUCUUCGGACAAUCUCUGACA